rnacentral:tRNA from 1 species
GGCCUGGUAGCUCAAUGAAUAGAGUUCUGUUCUUACUAAGCAGUGGUUGCGGGUUUGAAUCCCGUCCAGACCG